ensembl:snRNA U7 U7 small nuclear RNA
CAGUGUUACAGCUCUUUUAGAAUUUGUCUAGCAGGCUUUCCGGUUCCUACCGGAAAGCCCCU